CUGCAGAGACAACACCAGAUCCUUAAUCUGCUGUGCCAUAGCAGGAAUUUCCAUCCAUUUACUUUCAAGCCAGCUGAAUAACCUAGCCCACCAUGCCUGGACAUGGGUGCUCUGCUUCAAAUGAUUUUGUUCAGUCAGCAUCCAUCUCUGAAAUGUGUGCCAAGCAUUUAUAUGCAUGCAAGAGUCAUGUUGGCACUUCUAUCCUUUCCAACAGUUCAGUAGCCUUUGUAUUAUGACAUUUCUUGGCCUUUUCUCUACAAUAUUUGAGGCUGAGCAGACUGGCCAUGCCCCUGUCCAUGCUUCCAGAGCCUGUGUGCAGACUUCUGCUCUAGACAGAGACAGCUAGCCAUCCUGCAGUGCCCAGAAAACCCAACUCAAAGACUCUCAAGUAAGGAAGGAUUUAUUGGCUCACGUAAUCUGGAAUCCAGGCAUGGGGUAUUCAGGGCCACCUGAACCAGAGGCCCUGGCCCUGUUCUCUAAGCUUCUUCCUGCCCUGCCCUCGUCCUGGAAGUGACCCUGAAGGACAGCAAUGAAGGGCAGCUCCCCCAGGGACAGAUGACUGAGAGGUCCAUUUCAAGUCCAACUUGGCCUAGAUUGAGAGGCAGCAAGAAAUAUGGACCUACAGUGAGUCACAGGAUUUACCAGUGGUUUGGCUGGGUUGUCAGUGUUACAGGCUAAACAUUUGGGUCCCUCCAAAAUUAACAUGUUGCCGCUCUAACCACCAAAAUCAUGGUAUUUGGGGGUGGGGCCCUUGGAGGUAAUUAGGUUUAGAAAAGAUGAAGAGAGGGCCCUUGUGAUGGGAUUAGUGCCUUUAUAAGAAGGGAAAGGGAGGGGGUGCCCCCCCUCUCCCCAUGCAGGUCCUAGGAAAGGCCAUGGAGGAGCACACUGAGAAGGCAGGAGUCUGCAAGCCAGAGGGUCCACAGCAGGAACCCAGUCUGCCGGCACCCUGAUCGCAGGCUUCCCAGCUUCAGAAUUGUGAGAAACAAAGGGCUUUGAACACUCCCAGGAGAAGCGGGCUCAAAAAUCCGCUGGACAGAACAUCACACCCCACAAUGUCAGCCCACCUCAUCCCCAGCCACCUGGAUGGUGGCAAGUGGCAGGCUGAGAGGCUGCACAUGAGCUCAUCAAGAGGGUCCCCACCCCACAGAGGCUGACCCAGCUGCCACCGCCACCUAGUGGCUGAUCGGCCAAGAUCAGGAGCCCCAGGGGCAGCUCCAUUCCCUGGGGCGGCCAGGGAACCACCUGGUGGUAGGACAAUUCCAUUGCACCUCAUCCAUCAGGGAAAAGGUUUGCCUUCCCUGGCAGUAAUGCAUCUUCCCAUAUCAUGGUCCCUGGCCUCUUGGAAUGGCUUGGCCACCGUCAUGGCCUCACCCACAAAGCCUUGUGUCUCAGCAAGGAACUUAUUCCACAGCAAAGGACGUGCAGCCUGGAAUGAACUGGUCUGACUACAUACCCCAUUGCCCAGAAGUAGGUGGUCUAUUGCAAAGUGGAGUGGCUUACCCAAGACUCAGUUGUGCCCAAGUUGAGAGAUAGCACCCUAAAAUAUGGGCUUAUGUCUCACUGGCUGAGGUUUAUUCUUUGAAUCAAAGACAAUUAUAUGGUGUGGUCCCCCC